rnacentral:tRNA from 19 species
AGUAGAAUCAGCUAAUUAAAGCUUUCGGGCCCAUACCCCGAACAUGUUGGUUAAAGUCCUUCUUCUGCUA